GUGCUGUAAAAAGUGGACUCCAACAACCCAUAACUUGACAUAACAUAACGCGAGAAUGUGACUGAACUCAAGUUGCAAUGAGGGUAGUAGUUAACCAGAUAUGCAUGCUGCUCCUGAAUAACCUUCCCCUGCAAGCAUGAACCACGGAUUCAUAAUAUUAGUGGCAGCUCUAUGCCUGCGUCACGCACGGGCCAUGACCUCUACUGAGGUUCCUACAAUUAACUUAACAAAUGCUUGGACCACCACAGUACUAGAGGUCGGUGAACUUUCAAACCCUCAGCCAUUCAUGGAGACAACAAAAGAAUGGGACAAACAAACAACUCCACAACUGAGUGCCACAUCAACAGGGAUUAAGGGAAGCUUAAGUGAAAAUAUAGACGCCGGCGAUGAGACAAAUAUUGCUUCUUCUGUCCUCAUGGAACCAUCGUCUCUUGCUCCCACAUUAAGAUCACGCGCUUAGUAAAUUUAUGCAUGAGCACAACACAAAGAACAACAGUAUUUUCUUCAUCGCCACACAGACCAUCACAAACUACAGUUGUAUCCAGACAAACAGCCUCUUCAGCUAGGGCUCCACUAACUGCAACAACCACACCACUUAUGACAGAAACAUUCACAUCGAAAACUGUGUCCACAUCAGUACAAACACAAUCUAUUCCUCCCACAAUGGAAUCAUCCACAACAACAACAACAACGACACAUAGUACAGGAUCUAUUGCAUCAUCAACUCAAAAACCAACACAAAUUACAGAUGUAUCCAGACAAACAGCAUCUUCAGCUAUGGCUCCACCAUCUGCAACAACCACAUCAGAUACUUCACAAACAUCAAAAUCAGUCACAACAGAACCAACAACAGCUGCAACACAACCUGCUGAAUCAACAGCACUUUCCAGCACUUUGACACAUAGUGGAUCAGUGACUACAAGAACACAAACUACACAACCUAUGACAACAGCAUUCACAACACAAACUAGGUCAACAAUCGUACCAACAGAAUCUAUAACGCCCACAAUAGAAUCAUCAACAACUCCAACACAAAGUACAGCCAUUUCUGUUUCAUCACCACAAAAAACAACACAAACCCCAGUAGAAACAGUACAAACAACAUCUUUAGAAAAAGGUGCACCAUCAGUAGCAACUAAAUCAGUGACUUCACACACAUCUGGAUCAUUAACAACAGAGCAACCCACAGCUGCGCAACAAACUAACCAAUCGAUGGAAAUUCACAGCACAUCUGGUCCUAGUGGAUCAUUACCUACAUCCACAGGAACUACACCACUUAUCAUGGAAACAUUCACAUCGAAAACUGUGUCCACAUCAGUACAAACACAAUCUAUUCCUCCCACAAUGGAAUCAUCCAGCAACAACAGCUACACAAAAUACACCACCACAGGUUAUGGUUGCAACCACACAAUCAGCAACUUCAACAGGAGCUGCACCAUCUGCGACAACCAAAUUGGGGACUUCACAAACAUCAACAACAGCAGCAUUAACAACAGCGCAACCCACGGUUGCAGGACAAACUGCAGAGUCAACGGCAAACAAAACACCCAAUUCCCUGGAUGCAUCAACUCUAAAUCCCAUUGAAGCCAACAUAACACAACAGCAAGUUGAUCCUAACUCUGUUCCUUUUUCUCGAGGAAAUAUAGUUUUUUUCAACCAUACCCCCGAAAUUGCUGCUGUCAGGCCGCUUGACUUUGGUUACCCAUCUGUCAUCUGGACCACAUUCCAAGUUACAAGCCAGUCAGACCAGAACGACACAAAUCAGAUUCCUACAUUUCCCCCCACAAGUGUGAACAAUGGUUAAUGGACUUGCCGUUUAAAAGAUCCAACCACUCAAAGAACUUUACAGUACAUGUCUACAUUGACCCUUUCAGGCUCACGUUCAUGUCAUGCAAAGUCAAAGGCCAUCACGAUCUAAUCUAGAUAACAUUGAUAUUGUACACCCUGAUGGCAAGUUGGCAGCAUUUUGGCAUUCAGUCUCCUUCCCAAGGGCCGGAGGAGCUGGGAAUUGAAUCGGCGAUGAUCAAAUUAGAAGAAACUGAUGGCUGGAAAUCCUGAGUUUAAGUCCAGACAAACCCUCACUUAUGUCAUACUUCAGAAGAAUGUUCGCCAACACCGAUGGAUUUCCCGAGAAAAAUGAGCACAUCCCAAAAACAAUCAUAAUAAAUCAAAUGGACGUGAACACAUGUUUCAACUUGCUAGCUUACAUCGUAGACUAAGCAGAUAUCAUGUAUAUAACGUCACUGAUACACGUCUACACAGCUUCUCACGCUGAAUGUGAGUCGUCUUUGUUCAGCUAGUUAUAGCUCAUAUUGGUGGUGGUUUGGUCAGUUAGACCCUCACUGGUCUCUUCUGUCUGUGCGUCCUAAAAGUUACACAAAUUAAUAUUCUAAAUACAUGCUCAUAGCAAAGUGUACACAUUUUCAAAGUUUUUUUCCGUGGUAUUUAAUUGUUGUUGUGUUUGUUUCUGGGUUUUAUUGCCACCUAAUUUUUGAGGUCAAUUAACACUUUCAACUUAUUUCUGUUGUGACAUUGAUACCUUUGUAACAAAUAAAUUAGAUGUCAGUAGAAUUUUCUCUCCUGUCGAGUUUUGUUCAUUGUUCAUUUAUAUUGGCCCUUGGUGCACAGAUUAUUCUGUCAAUACAGAAAGUAAAAUUGUGUACCAAAACUACACUUACAUUCAUCAACAGGGGGAGCCAUCAGACAAACAGCGUCUUUACAUGCUCUCAGUCACUCACAAAUCUUCUUAUUUGAUUCACACUUGAGUCAAAGUAUAAUAAGUGC
ensembl:lncRNA